rnacentral:rRNA from 1 species
UACGGAGGGUGCGAGCGUUGUCCGGAAUCACUGGGCGUAAAGGGCGCGUAGGCGGCUUGGUAAGUAGGGGGUGAAAUCCUGCGGCUUAACCGCAGGGCUGCCUUCUAAACUGCCAGGCUUGAGCACAGUAGAGGCAGGUGGAAUUCCCGGUGUAGCGGUGGAAUGCGUAGAGAUCGGGAAGAACAUCGGUGGCGAAGGCGGCCUGCUGGGCUGUUGCUGACGCUGAGGCGCGAAAGCGUGGGGAGCAAACAGG